GCUCCCAUGGCUUAGUGGUCACUGCGCUCGCCUUGCACGCGGGAGACCCGGGUUCGAUUCCCGGCGGGGUCA
rfam:Asian citrus Psyllid, Diaphorina citri - Florida Strain, whole genome shotgun sequence.